GCGAAGAAUGCGCCACCGAUCUGUCUGCACUUCCAGAUUGAAAAUGGCGGUCUCAGUGUUUCCCGGCGUACGGCUCCUGUCCAUCGGAGACGCAAAUGGAGAUAUACAACGACACUCAGAACAGCAACCUCUGCGAUUGGAAGUCAGAACUACGCAGGACGCCGCAUUACUGAACCUUUCUAAUGGAGAGGAUGCAAGUGUCUUCAAGUGUUCGGUUUCUAGGGAGACGGAAUGCAGCAGAGUGGGGAAGCAGUCAUUCAUUAUCACUCUGGGCUGCAACAGCGUCCUAAUUCAGUUCUCCUCACCUGCAGACUUUCAGUCCUUUUAUAACGUCUUGAAGAACUGUCGGGGGCAUCUUUGUGAGCAGUCAGUUUUCAGUGACAGAACAGAGGAAUCAUCUGCCGUACAGUACUUUCAGUUUUAUGGCUACCUCUCACAACAACAAAAUAUGAUGCAGGACUACGUGCGUACAGGGACCUACCAACGGGCUAUUUUGCAGAACCACGUCGACUUCAAAGACAAGAUUGUGCUAGAUGUUGGAUGUGGCUCUGGGAUCCUGUCUUUUUUUGCGGCCCAGGCAGGAGCAAAGAAGGUCUAUGCUGUGGAAGCAAGCACAAUGGCUCAGCAUGCUGAGGUGCUGGUUAACAGUAACCGUCUGGGAGAGCAUGUGAUCGUUGUCCCAGGAAAGGUGGAGGAGGUGACGCUCCCUGAACAAGUGGACAUUAUCAUAUCAGAGCCUAUGGGCUACAUGCUUUUCAAUGAGCGGAUGCUGGAGAGCUACUUGCAUGCCAAGAAGUUCCUUAAACCCAACGGUAAAAUGUUCCCUACCAUUGGGGAUGUUCACCUUGCCCCUUUCACAGAUGAGCAGCUGUACAUGGAACAGUUCACAAAAGCCAAUUUCUGGUACCAGCCCUCCUUCCAUGGUGUAGACCUCUCUGCGUUGCGGGGUGCAGCAGUGGAUGAGUAUUUCCGCCAGCCAAUUGUGGACACAUUUGAUAUCCGUAUACUGAUGGCAAAGUCAGUCAAAUACACAGUCAACUUUCUGGAGGCCAAAGAAGAGGAUCUUUACAGGAUAGAGAUCCCCUUUAAGUUCCACAUGAUGCACUCAGGCCUUGUCCAUGGUCUGGCUUUCUGGUUUGACGUGGCAUUUAUGGGAUCAGUUAUGACAGUAUGGCUGUCCACUGCACCUACAGAACCUCUUACUCACUGGUAUCAAGUACGCUGCUUGCUACAGUCUCCUCUCUUCACAAAGGCUGGGGAUACGCUGUCUGGCACUGCACUACUAGUGGCCAACAAGAGACAAAGUUACGACAUCAGUAUUGCUGCCCAGGUGGACCAGACUGGAUCAAAGUCCAGCAACCUCUUGGAUUUAAAGAACCCCUUUUUCAGGUACACGGGUACCACCCCAAAUCCGCCUCCUGGGUCACAUUACACCUCCCCCUCGGAGAAUAUUUGGAACACAGGUGUAGCCUACAGCAUGGGUCAAGGGAUGCCCGUAUCAGGAAUGCCUGCAGCUUAUGACCUUAGUACAGUCAUUGGCAGUGGCCCAUCAGUCUCUCACAACAACCUUAUCCCUCUAGUCAUAACGGCCCUCCGAGGGAAGCCAUAACUACAAUGUGGCCCGUGACAAAAAUGAGUUUGACACCCCUGCCUUAGAUGACGCAAGGAAUAAAGGAUGACGCUCCGAGCCAAAGCGAUCGUGCAAAAUGCCAGCCCGUACAUAUGGUGAGAUGCUCUCGGCCACUUGCUGGCUGAUCGUCUGCCAACCAGGAUUUGAAUAAAUGGGAUCUGGAAUCGUCAGAUAGUGAACUCACUUUUGGAUAGCCAGGCGAGCUUCCUCGGAUGAAGAUCAACGAAGGCGAAGACAAAGGAAUUCAACACCCGCGAGUCAAGCGUCUUUUGGGAUUGCGAAGAAGAAAAGUAAUCGGGUUUUUUCACCCUUGCAAAACACAUCAAUAAAAAGUAUACUCGUCGCAUCCACCAGACGUUCGACUCCCAUACCAGUACGCAGUGCAGACAAAAAAGGUUCUGCUUCGAGCAGAAGGUUUCAAGGAGAAUGACAACCACACAAGGUCCGAUUCACUGCCAACAGAAGAAUAAAAUAAGAUGUGGAUAAAACUUUGCUAGAUUUUAUGCUUUAAGUAAAAAAAACCUGGACUAUUGAGCAAAGGAGAGGAGGAGAAUUUGAAGGAAAAAAGUGUGGGAGGCCCAUUUGUUCAUGCAUUUUUGUCUAAUGUAAAUUCUGUACAUAGUUAUACUUAUAAAUAAAUAUUUUUUCUGUCAAAAGUACUUUCUGUGUUGUUUUAUGUUCAGAUGUUUGAGAUUUUCACUAAAGAAAAAAAAUAUUGGUGUCAAAGUCAUUGUUCUGCUUAAUGUGUCUGCUUUCACAAAAAGGCUGUUUUCUCCGUUUUUUUUUUCUUCCAGAAUCAGAUUUGGCUGAAAGUAGCCUAUAUUUGACUGCUGAUUACUAAAAAACAUUAUAAGCUAGAGACAAACUUUUUUCUGAUGAAAGAAGGGAGUCUGAUCUUUCAUUUGGUGGUUUUGGUGUUUACAUCGUCAUAGUACAUAAUAUUCUGUGGGGCUUGGAAAAUCAGUGAAAUUGCUCGAAAAUGCCUGUCAGUCUAGGGGUUCCCUGCUCAGGAAACGGCUGGCAGUAAAUGAGUUAAAGAAGAAGUUACAGGUCUGUGAGAGCCAGAAAUCUUGCUUGUUUGUAGGUGACCAAAUACUUAUUUUACCGAGGAAUUUACCAAUUCAUUAAAAAUCAGAAGUGAUUUUCAGGAUUUUUUUUAUUUUUUUAUUUUUUCUUAUUUUGUCUCUCAUAGGUAAGGUUAUACAUAUGAUGAAAAUUACAGGCCUGUCUCAUCUUUUUCAGUGAGAGAACUUGCACAAUUGGUGGCUGGCUAAAUACUUUUUUGCCCCACUGUAUAUCACCAGUUAACUUGCUGUACAGGUAGUUUUUCACAGAAAGCUUUUGUCCCUAUUUGUAUCUAAAUCUAACAGUCAACCACACUUCCAGACAAUUUGACAUUUUUCUCAAUGUUUUCAAAAUCCUUAAUUUAAAUUUUUUUUUUUGUUCUUCCUCAAACAAAACCCAGGUGACAUGCACUGGUCAUUCUUUUUUGCUCUUUCCACUUCCCAUUUCCAGUAUUCGUUAGAAGCGCUUCUCUUUUUUACAAUAUUCAAACGUCUUCGAAAUUGUCGGGGACUCGAACCCCUCAUUGACGGGGACUCAAACCCCUCGUAAUUUUGACGGGGACUCAAACUUGGACUUUAACCUGGACUUUAUAAUCUGGACUUUAAGGACUCAAACUUUACCAAUGGAAUGUGGGGGGAGCAAUUACAAAUACCACUUAAUACAAAGACAAGAUUUUUUCAAAUACAGUACACCGUAUGAAAUGAUCCAAUUUUCAAGGAAUUACAAUUUUCUUUACCGUAAUUCUUUGUCUGGAGGACAACAGGUCCGUUUGGAUCCUGAGGUGACAACUCAAGAUUCAAAUUAACCUUGCUGGUUGCAUUCAUUAACCGAAGAGCAUUGACGUCCGUAUUAUUGGGAAACUUUUAUUUUGAAGGUGGCUUUCGCCGCGAGUUGGCGACAUAUUACCGUAAUGCCUAGUGUGAACAAAAUUAGGGGCGGCUGGCUUGAUUGCUACUUUACGAGUGGAGGCUGGCUUGACCGGCGCUAUAUACCUACUGGGGGCGUGCCUUUAGCGUCCUCCUUCACGUGUACCCUUCCCCCUUUACGUCAGCAUGCUGUCCUCAGCCACCCAGCAUCUGUAUAAGCAGCGUGUCGGCAUGAAAUGCUCCCGGUCAGUCAAGCGGAGCGCUCAUCACACAACAACAUUUAUAGAUUUUGGAAUCUAUAAUCUAUACACACAAAGCGCGCUGCAUUAUGAGGCGCCCCGUCAAUUUUGGAGAAAAUGUACGACUUUUAAGAGCGCCUUAUGGUCGUGAAAAUACAGUGAUAGAACUAACAUUUGGUAUGUAUGAAACAUACAUUUUCCGAAUCAACACACUCAUAAUAUCAACAGUAACAAACGCAACUCGAGGAUUAUCUUGCUUGAUUUUCUACAACUACAGUACUGUACUUAAAAACACCGCAAUGAAUUCUGGGUUCCCCUAAUGCUUUUUGCUGACUAAAUUGCCAGGACAGUCAGUGGGACGAACGAUGCCAAUGCUUAAGGCAGGAAAUCGCUUGUGGGUCCGCAUGGGCUGUUGUUCAGGUCUCUCAAGCGGAGCACACCCGUCUAUAAUAAGCAUGUGCUUGUGUGUGGAUGGUGACCUCAAGUGGGCAAAUAAAGUACCUGCUCCUCUCUAAAGUAGCAUGUAUUGGCAUUGAAUUAUAAAUUACAAAAUAAUUUGUAAAUUUAUAUCAUAUUAUGGUAACGUCACAGAUUUCAUUUACUGCGGUGCUUUUCUGGACAUAACCCCCACAAUAAAUGAGGCUUUAUUGUAUGGCCUAAAAAGCAUAUAGGCCUUGUUUAGUUGGGGCCUAUGUUGAUACUAUUUUCUUGGAAUGGGUGAACCUGUGAAGUUUUCCAGAUUUGUGACCUUGUGAUAUACAGUGCAUGAAAAUAUAUGUACACAGUGCUUCACUUUUCCCGCAUUUUAUGUUACAGCCUUGUUGUAAAAUUUUAUUUAAAGAAAAAAAAUACUAAAAAUUCUACAUACAACAUAAUGACAAUGUGAAAAGCAUUUUAGAUAUUUUAAAUUUGUUUUUUAAUUAAAAAUGAAGAUAUCACAUGUACAGAAAUAUUCAAAGGCAUUGCUCAAUGCUUUGUUGAUGCACCGUUGACAACAAUUACAGCCUCAAAUCUUUUUGAAUGUGAUGCUUAGCACACCUAUAUUUAGGCAGUUUCAAGCUCCGUCAGGUUGAAUAGGCAGCAUCAUAGUCAUUUUUAGACGUCUCCAGAGAUUUUCAAUUAGAUUCAGGUCUGGGCUCUGGUUGGGCCAAUAAAGGAUAUUCCUAGAGCUAUCUUUAAGCCACUCCUUUAAAAUCUUGGGCUGAAAUAUGAAUUGUCGCCACAGUCCGCGGUCAAGAGUGACCUGUAGCAGUGUUUUAUCUAGGAUGUCUCUGUGUAUUGCUGGAUUCAUCUUUCCCUCAACCCUAACUAGUCUCCCUGUUCCUGGCGCUGAAAAACAUCCCCAUGGUAUGAUGCUGCUUUCACGGUGAUGAGCGGUGCCUUGUUACCUCCAAAAAUGACAUCUGACAUUUCAUACCAAAGAGAUACCUGAUCGGUCAAUUGCUGCAGAGAGUGAACACAGGUAUUGUGAACCACACCCACUCCAGGAUGGGCUCCAUCAUGAGCACAGGAAUUGUCCAGGGUAUGUCCAGUUAAUAAUCAACACAGUACAGAAACCCACAUUGG